CCUACAGGUGGCUGCAGUGGGGAAUAUUGGACAAUGGGGGGAACCCUGAUCCAGCCAUGCCGCGUGUGUGAAGAAGGCCCUCGGGUUGUAAAGCACUUUCAGUGAGGAAGAACGCCUGGUGGUUAAUACCCAUCAGGAAAGACAUCACUCACAGAAGAAGCACCGGUUAACUCCGUGCCAGCAGCCGCGGUAAUACGGAGGGUGCGAGCGUUAAUCGGAAUUACUGGGCGUAAAGCGCGCGUAGGUGGCUUGAUAAGCCGGUUGUGAAAGCCCCGGGCUCAACCUGGGAACGGCAUCCGGAACUGUCAAGCUAGAGUGCAGGAGAGGAAGGUAGAAUUCCCGGUGUAGCGGUGAAAUGCGUAGAGAUCGGGAGGAAUACCAGUGGCGAAGGCGGCCUUCUGGACUGACACUGACACUGAGGUGCGAAAGCGUGGGUAGCAAACAGGAUUAGAUACCCUUGUAGUC
rnacentral:rRNA from 1 species